UGCCUAGUUCUCACAGGCUUCUCUUGAAUCGAUUCCGAUUCCGUUUCCUCUGUGCUGUCUGGAUAUUCUUCGACUUGAACCGACUCGGAAGAGUUUGUGAAUGCGAUUCGGUUCCUCGAUUAGCCGAUUUCUGCGAUGCCAUGGGCGAGGAUGCGAAUCGAGUGGCCAAAUUCGUUAACGAGUAAGCCUGUCGAAACGAAGUUCUGCCCACCGUAUCUAAUCUUGCGACAGAAUCAGGAACUCUCAUUGUUUCUCGAAAUUCCUAGAUGUACCGAAGUAAUGCUUUAUUUUUGGAUAAUGCGAAAUAUUGCAUUUGAUAAUAAUAAAGUUAAUAUUGAAAUGUCA
rnacentral:lncRNA from 13 species